GCCCUACACUGCAAGUUGAACGAAGUAGCAUACUUAGUGGCAGACGGGUGAGUAACAUGUAGGUAUCUGCCCUUUGGCCUGGAAUAACACGAGGAAACUUGUGCUAAUACCGGAUAAGUCUUUACGGAGAAAGCUUUAUGCACCAUUGGAUGAGCCUGCACUUGAUUAGUUUGUUGGUGGGGUAGUGGCCUACCAAGACUGUGAUCAAUAGCUGAUUUGAGAGGAUGAUCAGCCACAUUGGGACUGAGACACGGCCCAAACUCCUACGGGAGGCAGCAGUGGGGAAUCUUGCACAAUGGAGGAAACUCUGAUGCAGCGAUGCCGCGUGAGUGAAGAAGGCCCUUGGGUUGUAAAACUCUUUCGUCGGGGAAGAAAAUGACUGUACCCGAAUAAGAAGGUCCGGCUAACUUCGUGCCAGCAGCCGCGGUAAUACGAAGGGACCUAGCGUAGUUCGGAAUUACUGGGCUUAAAGAGCUCGUAGGUGGUUAACAAAGUUGAUUGUGAAAUCCCAAGGCUCAACCUUGGAACUGCAAUCACAACUAUUUAGCUUGAGUGUGAUAGAGGAAAGUGGAAUUUCUAGUGUAGAGGUGAAAUUCGGAGAUCUUCGAAAGAACAUCAAAGCGAAGGACUUUCUGGUCCACUG
rnacentral:rRNA from 1 species